rnacentral:rRNA from 1 species
GCAAGUCGAACGGAAACGAUGGGAGCUUGCUCCCAGGCGUCGAGUGGCGGACGGGUGAGUAACGCGUAGGAAUCUACCCAGUAGCGGGGGAUAGCUCGAGGAAACUCGAAUUAAUACCGCAUAAGCCCUACGGGGGAAAGCAGGGGAUCUUCGGACCUUGCGCUAUUGGAGGAGCCUGCGUUGGAUUAGCUUGUUGGUGAGGUAAAAGCUCACCAAGGCGACGAUCCAUAGCUGGUCUGAGAGGAUGAUC